rnacentral:rRNA from 1 species
UGAGGAACAUGACCUUCGGCGGGGGAGUAGCCGGGCCCAACGGCCGGGUAAUACCGCGUACGACCACUCGGGGACAUCCCCAGGUGGUGAAAGCAGCAAUGCGCCGAUGGAGUGCCUCGCGGCCUAUCAGCUAGUUGGUGAGGUAACGGCUCACCAAGGCGACGACGGGUAGCUGGUCUGAGAGGAUGGCCAGCCACAUUGGAACUGAGACACGGUCCAGACUCCUACGGGAGCAG